AGGACGAACGCUGGCGGCGUGCUUAACACAUGCAAGUCGAGCGGUAAGGCCCUUCGGGGUACACGAGCGGCGAACGGGUGAGUAACACGUGGGUAACCUGCCCUGUACUGUGGGAUAAGCCUGGGAAACUGGGUCUAAUACCGCAUAUGACUGCAUUCCGCAUGGGGUGUGGUGGAAAGUUCUGGCGGUACAGGAUGGGCCCGCGGCCUAUCAGCUUGUUGGUGGGGUGAUGGCCUACCAAGGCGACGACGGGUAGCC
rnacentral:rRNA from 1 species